GCUUUAAUGGCUAGGUCGGCUUGGUACCCUGCUUUCGGCUGGGAGGGAUCCGUAAGGCCAUGUGGCUCCACUGCCAAUGUGUAGAUGUGGAAACUGAAGCCCAGAGAGGGUAUGGAACUUGUCCAAGGUCACACAGCUGGUUAAUGGCUUGCUUCCUCUCCAAGGAGUCCCCUAAGCCUGCUUAUAUGGGGCUUGAGACCUGUGCUGUGAUAAAUCUGACUUGCUUAGGGGUGAGCUAAGGGAUUCCUCCUCUUAGACCCCCCAUCCAUAGCUACCAGGUACUUGACAGGAUGGAAAUGUUUCACCCUCCAAAAGUACCCUGUAAAGGCCCAACCUCGAACCAGAAAGAAUGUGUGUACAGGAAUAAAGGAUUGUGGUUCUUAACCUGUUUCAGUUCUCAACCCCGGAAGAAACUCAUGAAUGCCUUUUCUUAGCAAAAUGCAUAUAAAGAAAACGUGGGCCGGGCGCUGUGGCUCGCGCCUGUAAUCCCAGCACUUUGGGAGGCCGAGGGGGGCGGAUGACGAGUCAAGAGAUCGAGACCAUCCUGGCCAACAUGGUGAAACCCCGUCUCUACUAAAAUAUAAAAA
rnacentral:lncRNA from 10 species